rnacentral:rRNA from 1 species
AACGAACGCUGGCGGCAUGCCCAACACAUGCAAGUCGAACGAGACCUUCGGGUCUAGUGGCGCACGGGUGCGUAACGCGUGGGAAUCUGCCCUUGGGUUCGGAAUAACAGUUGGAAACGACUGCUAAUACCGGAUGAUGACGUAAGUCCAAAGAUUUAUCGCCCAAGGAUGAGCCCGCGUAGGAUUAGCUAGUUGGUGAGGUAAAGGCUCACCAAGGCGACGAUCCUUAGCUGGUCUGAGAGGAUGAUCAGCCACACUGGGACUGAGACACGGCCCAGACUCCUACGGGAGGCAGCAGUGGGGAAUAUUGGACAAUGGGCGAAAGCCUGAUCCAGCAAUGCCGCGUGAGUGAUGAAGGCCUUAGGGUUGUAAAGCUCUUUUACCCGGGAUGAUAAUGACAGUACCGGGAGAAUAAGCUCCGGCUAACUCCGUG